CCGAGUUUACAACUCCCAAACCCAUGUGAAUCUUACCUUUUCGUUGCUUCGGCGGGAUCGCCCCGGGCGCCAUCGCGUGCCCCGGACCUAGGCGCCCGCCGGGGGACCUAAACUCUUGUAUUAAUUUGUUUCUCUGAGUGGAUUACACAAAUAAUCA
rnacentral:misc_RNA from 1 species